GAGAGCGCACACGAGGGAGAGAACGAAUGCGAGAAAAGAGGGAAGACUCAUGCUUGCCGUCGAAAGAGACUCCAUCGUCGCACCCAACCGCUGUCCAGCUCGCCAUCACCAGCGUCUCACUAUCGUCACUGUAGAGACCGAACGUCGUCGACCUUCCUGCUACCACCUUGGGAGUUCGCCAAUGACAUCGAGCAAGACGGAGAUGAAGGAGAAGGAGCUGUGUUCCAUGCCGCCGUCACCACUGAUCCACGAACACCACUGUGAGGGUUCCAUCACCGACGAGCCGCCACCACGCCAGUUGCCGCCGCUGUUGUCGUCGUGGGUGGAGCCCACCGUCUGAGCCAUCAGAGGAAGCUGCUGCUGCCGUGACUACCAUUAGCUCCACACUGUCGUUGAAAUUGCUGAUGAGGUUGCCACCGCGGGAGUCAUUGCCGGAGGGGAGUAGCUGGUGUGACCACCAUUCUGCCAUACCUGUCACUGUCAUCGUCGUCAGAAUGGUUCAACGGGGCUGCCCAAAACCAAUGUUGUCAUUGCCGCAGGAAUUGGUGCUGCUGCAUUUGUCCCGGUUGUGUUGUCAUUGCGACAUUAAGUAGAUGAUGAGCGAUGUUCGUUAGGGAAAAGACCACCUAAUAUCGUGAAUCUGUCCAAAUAUCAAGCGUGACCUGGAGGCUCAUUUUAGAGAUAACGAGGGGUUCAAGCAUCGCCGUCUAACGAACAUCGCCAACAGGGCUUCGCCCAUGUCGUCGAGGUAUAUGGGUGGGUUGGCAUCCUUCAUGAAGAUGAAGACGAGCCUGUCUAAGUCGUUGGAUCGUGAGGCGACACUGGCGGAGACCUUUAAGUAUACCCAUACUUUGAAGGUAAACAAGGAGAGAUUUGGUGACGAGCGGUCGGCAACCCAUUAUAAGGAGUAUUAGUAGAGGUUGGAGGCUAUGACCCAACAAUCUUAGCUGCCUACUUGAGCUUACAAGGCCGGCUCCGAGACCUCAGUCGUGGAACCCAAUAGGAUUUGGUGCGAGACUGCCUCUGAAUCUCACAAGAAUCGCCACUCCGGGUUGGACUCGUUCUUUGCCAGUGGCCUCUGCUCCUUUGCGUUGGCGGCUUCCUUUGCCUUUGCCUCUGCCACCAGCCCUGCCGAUCCCUAGGAAGUUAUCGACAUGAGGGAGGAGGUGCAGAAGCUAACACAAGAGCUUCACUAGCAACAGGAGCAGUCUGCGCAGAAGUAUCGAGAGAUUCUUGCACGUAUUGUCUCCAGCUUGGAUCUGAUGGAGAAGUUACAGCAGCUCGAUCAGUUGCGAUAACAGAUGGAAAAGUACAGCCAGCAGAUGCGCACUGGAGUCAGCGACGUUGCUGGUUCCAAUGGUGACACUUUGGUGGGGCACCGACGGCAACACUUACUCUUCUGCCUCAACAAGGGGUCCACGACGCCGCCACCGUCACCGACGACGAUUACCAAGAUCUAUAGGGGUUAGGGUUUUAUGUAUUUUUGUUUAUUUAUGGUAUGUUACUCUACUUCUGUGAUAUUUUAUUAUAUUCAUACCAUUUAUUUUUAAUAAAAUAAUUUGUUGAUUUCUGUUAA